UCCUGUUCACACCAAAAUAACGUCUAGUUAGAGUAUUUAACAUUAAAUUAUUACCAGUCAUAAAUAUACAGCAAAAAGUUUGUGUCACCUUAUAAUUUAGAGCAGUUUUGUUUCAUUUGUUUUCCUCCUGGUUUUUUGACAGACUCAACGCAGAAAACCAGAUAAGCCCUAGAAUAGAAUAUCAUUUUUUUCCAAUCUAAGCUGCUUUGGCGGUGCGUUUGUAGUUUGGAAAAGGGUUUUCUUUUUCUCUUUUUCUUUUAUGAGAAGUUGCGUCUGAUAAGAAAUCGAUUUCCAGCAGCCCGGAGGAGGAGGAGGAGGAGGAGGAGGAGGAAGCUGCAUGUGCUGAUAAGAAAUAGAUCAGAAAAAGAUUAAGAGAAUAGCAUAAAGAUCUGCAAGAUUAAUGCAAGUUCCCUAUCUUAUUUUUUCACACUUGAUCAUUGUUUGCUCGUUCCUCCUGUACCUUUGCAUCUACUUAAGUCAAACUCAUAUUAACUUUGAGGAUGAGAAGCAUUGUUAAUCAUGGGGAGAGUUAAGCUCCAAAUCAAGAAAAUAGAAAACAACACAAACAGGCAGGUUACCUACUCCAAGAGGCGAAAUGGACUUAUUAAGAAGGCAUAUGAGCUCUCCAUCCUUUGUGAUAUUGAUAUUGCACUUAUUAUGUUUUCGCCCUCUGGGAGAUUGAGUCAUUUUUCAGGGAAAAAAAGCAGGAUCGAGGAUGUUAUAACACGUUAUGUCAAUCUACCUGAACAUGAGAGGGGCAGGCUUCAAAAUCAAGAACUUCUAAAUAAAGGAUUGAAGAAAUUGAAUCGCGACGGUGAACUUGCCAAUCAUCUAGCAAGCACAGGAAACAUUCCAAACAUUGAGGAUCUUCAAAGGGAAAUCAAUACGUGGAGAUUGCAACUAGCAGAUGCAGAAUCAAGAUUAAGGUGUUUGGAAGCAGAUCCCCAUAUGAUAAAUUCACUACAAGAUGCAGAGUUUUAUGAGAGAGUUCUUGAAGAAUCCUUAACUAGAAUUCGAGCUAAAAAGCAAUACUUUGAACAAACUAGAAUGAUCUCAUAUGGCCAAUCAAAUAUACAGAUUUAUAUGCAACAACAAAAUGGAAAUCCAAGUUGUGCUAGUUCAAGUGAGAGUCAAAUGCUAAGUUGGGUAUCACAAAGAGAACCACAGAUAGGUGCUCAAAAUUGUUUAGAACCUGGCAAUACUGAUGGCACAAUAGGAUUUAGGGACAUUGUGGCAGAAUGCAUGCCUGUAAAUAUUUUCACAUCUGUUCAACAAGGCAAUGGCAACAUGCAGCUUGUAAAUCAUACAAGUGAUUCCAAUAAACCACAUUUGAAUUUUGAUUAUCCUCCUCUGGAAGGCAACACUAGUGAUGAACAUAUUGAGCAUGAUAUGACAGGAAAUGAUUAUGGUUCUACAGUGGCUCUUUCUUCCCAAUGGCAAUCAAUGUAUGGAAAUAGCUUGAUGACGCCUUUAUCAAUUGUGCAAAAUAAUUGCUCUUAUGUACAGGGAUUGGCAAUGACGGACAAUGUUUCAAACAUGAUAUCACAUCAAAGCCAACACCAACAUGAAGACUCGUCUUAAGAGGAUGCGAUUGAUGCACCUUACUACUCUAACAUGGGGGAUGCACCUCAUUCUAAUUACGUGGAUGUUGAUAUGGAAGAUCAAAUGGAGCAUUGUAAACUGUGUAAUAAGGAGGGUCAUACAAAGGAGAUAUGUUUGAUCGGUCCCAAAGGUAAGACAGUGGAAUCUAUGAUGGAAGUUGUUGUGGCAAAGUUUUUGGAAGAGGAGAACAAGGCCCAACAGGGGAAGAAUGGAAGUGUCGGGGCUUCGGCAUUAACGAAACAACCCCAAGUUCAAAGGAUCAGCGGAGAACAUCAAGAAUAG